CACACAGAGGGACUGAUUAACAUGAAACAUGAUUGACCACUUUCCGCAACUUCAGGUGAAUCUACAACGUGGCAUCAUUUGGUGUUCCAGUUUAGCUCCAUAGUACCUGCGCGUUGGAUGCGCGCGUCACCGGUAUUCUGACUGUAACUCUGAUUGUGUUGCUUGGACAUCUUGGACUCUCUAUGUUUACAUCAUCUCGCAUCAUGUACACUUCGAUAAGAGUUGUCCAUUAGUGUAUCUUCUAUCGUCCUUCGUCCAAGGGUUUAUACAUCAGUUCCUCAGACGAAAGACCAACUUGUAGAUUUAUUUGUGUUUUCUAUUAUUUUAUGCACGCUGAUUUAAUGUUAAACCAUUGAGAUGUCAAAGUAUAUGUAACGAACGCGAUUUUUUUCCAUGUUUUUAAUGUUAACGCGUGUGUGUUUGUGUUUUAUGAAAGUUUUGAGUUAAUUGAUUUGCGACGCCAAAUUCAUUGACGAAGCAGCGCUGUUCUUAACUUUAGAUCUUAUUAUUAUAGGUACCCUCCCAAAAUGGAUGCCCAACAACGUCUAAGGGAACAACUUCUUAAGAAUAUUGACAGACUUGAAAAGGAGAAUGAAGAUCACGACGAAGUAAUCCGGGCUGCAAAAAGAAGAAUUGCAGAACUCAAAAAGGAACAUAAAAAAUUAAUUCGAAGUAUAAAUAAGAAGCGGGAAAAGCUGAAGAAAUACAAAGGAAUGCUGAAAUCGAUGAAAAAAUGAGUCAAUCAGCUCGAUAAGGACGCUGUCAUCGAACAAGAUUUCGUUCCUAUUCUGUAGCACUUUGAUCGCUGCAGAGGCAGCAGCCGCGGCCACAGCCAAUUUGCUGAAACGUGUACUUUUUCCCCCUUCUAAUCUGUUUUGUAAUAUGUUUGAAUUUUAGAUUUUUUUAUUAUAAUAAGUUAUGUAAUUAUAGAUACUUGAAUGCUCCUUAUUAAAAAUAAUUUUUAGUAAC